rnacentral:lncRNA from 1 species
CAGCAGCUGCGGUUAUUGCUUCUUCCGGGACAUUUUCCGGGACAUUUUCUUCCGUAGGAGCAGCAACUGCGGUUAUUGCUUCUUCCGGGACAUUUUCUUCCAUAGGAGCAGCAGCUGCAGUUGUUGCUUCUUCUGGGACAUUUUCUUCCAUAGGAGCAGCAGCUGCGGUUGUUGCUUCUUCUGGGACAUUUUCCUCCAUAGGAGCAGCAGCUUCGGUUAUUGCUUCUUCCGGGACAUUUUCCUCCAUAGGAGCAGCAGCUUCGGUUGUUGCUUCUUCCGGGACAUUUUCUUCCAUAGGAGCAGCAGCUUCGGUUGUUGCUUCUUCCGGGACAUUUUCUUCCAUAGGAGCAGCAGCUUCGGUUGUUGCUUCUUCCGGGACAUUUUCUUCCAUAGGAGCAGCAGCUGCAGUUGUUGCUUUUUCUGGGACAUUUUCUUCCCUUGAAGCAAUAGCAAUUGUUGCUUCUGAGGCUUUACGCUUU